AAUAAGGUGCCUGAUUAAAGGAUUAUUUUGAUAGAAUAAAUUAUGUAUAUUAAUACUCUUAUUG
rnacentral:tRNA from 1 species